CUCGUUUCCGCUGCCGUGGUCCUGACCGCUUCCCUGGCAGCUGAUGAGCUACAGGAAGUCCGGGCCGGCGUGAGUGACUGCGCCCUGUGGCGGCCUUUCAGCCUAAGGAAGGCGAGGAGGCAAUCCGAAGGAGCAGCGCCCUCCUCUCGCCCCGCUUCUCCUUUCCUCAGCAGGCAGCGAAGGGAGGGGGGUCGUUCUCUGUAGUGUGUCGUACUGCAGUGCACGCUCGCCGCCUCGCCCCCUCUUAUCAUCGGGCAGGCUGGCUUACUCAGUGCUGUGGUGAGUAGAGGGAAAGGCCAUGAGAGAGCUCCGGGAGACCGUGGCCGUCGCUAAAGAACAGCAGCGCGCCUCGCCUGCAUCAGCCGCGGCCGGGCCGCUGGGAGUCGCCGUCCUCGUUUGUGUGCCCAGCUCCCACCGCUUGCACAUGGCAAGAGAGCGUUUCGGAAGAAUUACUGGAUGGGUGCCAGACAAGGUUUUGAGUAAAAAUCGUUUGCAGACAUUGGCAUCUUCGCUUAGACUGGCCUAAACACGACCAGACUUCUGUAAUACCAAAAUUUCAAUACAAGUAGCCGGCAUAAUCCCUAAGGAUAAAAUACAAGUAAAAAGGAAAUUACUGUACCAUCACAUAUAUUGCAGUUUAUACACAAACAGUCAUGAAAAUUGAUGAGAUUCUGCUGUGAGAUAGACUUGGGAUCACACUGGUAGUAAUUUGCUUUCCAACACCUCUGUAGUUAAGUGCAGUGUGUCUUAAGAGUGUAGAGAUAAUUAGAGGAGAUGGCAUUUUGUAUGUUGGAAAUCACCUGGAAAUGAAAAAGCACUGUUAAAAUGAGAAGCAUAGUGGUAAGACUCAAAAACAUGCACCAGACAGAGUUCAAAUGUCUUACUAAAAUAAGCUGGAGUGGAUGUACACAAAGUAAAGAAAAAUGAAUAUGCAAGUGAUUUAAAUCUACUAAAGCAGAUGUAUAACAUAUUUCUUGUGUUUCAUUAGUAUUUUAUAAUUAUCUGUGUGAGGAAAAUCUACACUCUCUCAGUCUUUUCCCUCAUCUAAUUAUACAGUAUAGCCUCACCAUCCUUAUUUUUAACAUCACAUUUAUUUCUGUAGUAAUAGAGGAUGAUCUUACUGGAGGGAGGUGAAGUAAGAAGUUUCUCAUGGGCCAUCUAUAGAAAAGACCAAAGGAAGUACUGACUUAAAACCUUAUUUUUUAUUUGACAUUUAUUCUUGCAGAAGAACUCACCUGCUGAUUUUCUGGGCUUUGUGGAGAAUCAUCAUUAAAAACAUCUUGGGCUGUUUUGGUUUGCCCUAGCUGGUGGGAGGAGUCUUUUAUUCAUUUUUGAUUAGGGGGUUUGUGUAGAGCUUUCUGAAAUGUGGCAUGUCCCAGGUCUUUAUGGGAUCUCUAUUAAUGUAUUGCUUUUAAAGAGAAAAUUUUUUUUCUUCUACAAUGAAGUGUUGAUUUUUUUUUACUGCUAGUCUUCUGAUAUCACAGACUGCACAUUUUUCUUUAAUGAUGCAGUAAAAUGCAUAUCUCCUUGAAAGCAGGCAUGCAUUUUUGUCACUUGAAAGAGCAGUUGUUUACUUGACUGAAAAGCAGUGUACAGUGCAGUUAAAACAGGCAGUGGUACAGGAUGGCACAGUAGCAAUUCUGAGUUCAGCAUUUUUAAUUAAUUCCUAAACAUGUUAUAUACCGUUUCAUUUCAGUAAAUCUUCAAGUAGAAGCCAGAAAAUGAAAGUUAUGUUUGAACUUUUGCUAUGAAAUGGCUGCAGUUACAAAAUAAUCAAUUAGUUAUGAAUAUGUCUUGAUUAAAUUAUUACUGAAGCUAGUAUAAAGCUUGCUCUAUUAAUAAUGAAUUUCUUCUAAAAGUAAGUAAAUGAAUGAAUGAAGUAUCACUGGAUCUUCCUUUGAAUAUUUUUUCACUGUUGUUGUUUUAUACAGUAGUUUAAUAUAGAUCCCUUCUCAUAUGUAAUUGAACUUGCUUAUUUACUGCCUCCCAUUUCUCUGGAAAUCUCUCUAAAGCUGUUUAGCACAAUUAAGGUGUUCCAUGGGUGGACUCUUACCUAGUCCUUUUCAGAUUGUCACCUAAGAAAUUAUUUCUAGGAUGAAUCUGUAAAUCAAUUAAAUGGAAUACUUUGGACAAUGUCAGCUUCCUACAAUAAUAUGUGUACAGUUUUAAAAGAUUUUGUCACUGUAACAACUUUACGAGAGAAAAAUAUAUUUACCUCUGCAAUGUUUUCUAUUUGUGCAGUUCUGAAUAUCUGGGUUUUUUUGGUCCCACACUUUAGCAUUUCUAAUUUCCCCAUGAAUCUUCUGUUUCAUGAUGUCCAAGACUGAGCACCAAGAUGUUUCCUAUUACCAUCCGAGUAGCAGUUGCAUCUGGACAGUUUUCCUUAUCUCCUGUUAACGGGCCCAUCAAUGUCUUGCCACAUGACUCAGAGAUAACACUCUCCAGGAGCCAGUUCUGUUUAACAGGUGAUUAAGAACACACCUGUGACUCAGAAUAACAUCAGCCUAUUGUGAGAUGCUCCACCCAGGGAGAGAAGCUAGGCAUUCCCACCUGGAUAAAUCCAGGGAUUUCUAGACAGAAAAGCAGCCUUUCCACAGGUUUCCGAGUAGACACAGCAACCACAUCUGCCACUCCAAUUUGGACUGCUACCAGCACACUGGCCAAAGGAGUGUCAGGUUGUAUUCUGACUUUGUCAGUGGUCUUCCUUUUGUAUCAUUGCAUGUAUUUUUGUCUUCUUUUUUUUUUUCUUUUCCUAAUAAAUUGUAUUUCUGA